rnacentral:lncRNA from 1 species
AAAAUAAGUAACCUGUCUUAUGGCGUUAAACAUCUUUUUGUAUCGUUUCUCUCAAUUCAAAAAGUUUCGUAUUCACGAAAUUGAAAUCAAGAAAAAAAUAGUAAAUAAUUAUUUUCUUAUUCGUUAAAAUGACAAACCGAAUCAUACCGAUCAAAUCGAAUCGUCAUCAUCGAUCCCUUAUACCGAUCGGUUUAACAUCUAAUUCUUAAAGAACGCUAAAUUUAUCGCCGUCCGUUGCUUUAUUCCGCGGCGCUGACACUGAUCGUAACGUUCGCCGGUUUUUCGCAUCGGACAUCGU